AUUGAACGCUGGCGGCAGGCCUAAUACAUGCAAGUCGAACGGUAACAGGAAGCAGUUUGCCGCUUCGCGGACGAGUGGCGGGCGGGUGUGACAUGUGUGGGAAACUGCCCGAUGGAGGGGGAUAACUACUGGAAACGGUAGCUAAUACCGCAUAACGUCGCAACACCAAAGUGGGGGAGUUUAGGGCCGCUUUCCAUUGGAUGUGACCAGGUGGGGUUAGGUAGUAGGUGGGGUAACGGCUCACCUAGGCGACGAUCCCUAGCUGGUCUGAGAGGUGGAACGGCCACACUGGAACUGAGACACGGUCCAGACUCCUACGGGAGGCAGCAGUGGGGAAUAUUGCACAAUGGGCGCAAGCCUGAUGCAGCCAUGCCGCGUGUAUGAAGAAGGCCUUCGGGUUGUAAAGUACUUUCAGCGGGGAGGAAGGGAGUAAAGUGAAUACAUUCGCUCAUUGACGUUACCCGCAGAAGAAGCACCGGCUAACUCCGUG
rnacentral:rRNA from 1 species